AAUGAGUAGUUUCGUCGCUUUUCAUUAUAGGUCAAUAGGUCAUAUGGGGCUUUUUUUCUAUGCACGAAAAGGCUCCAUAACUUCUGACUGGGUGUUAUCCACUACAGAAAUUAUAGAGCC
rnacentral:ncRNA from 1 species